UCCUCGUAUGUUGCCGUGACAACAGUCUCCCUCCUCUUGCCAUAACGCAUCCCAGCAGCACUUGCUAAAAAGUAAACACAUGCAAUAAAACAGCUGUUAUAAUGUCGUAAACUGACAAAACUCACUCAUAUUCACUUUUUACAGCUGCAAAAG